rnacentral:rRNA from 1 species
UACGUAGGGGGCAAGCGUUGUCCGGAUUUAUUGGGCGUAAAGAGCGUGUAGGCGGCCAGGUAGGUGGGUUGUGAAAACUGGAGGCUCAACCUUCAGAGGUCGACCCAAACCCCCUGGCUAGAGUCCGGAAGAGGAGAGUGGAAUUCCUGGUGUAGCGGUGAAAUGCGCAGAUAUCAGGAAGAACACCCGUGGCGAAAGCGGCUCACUGGACCGGUACUGACGCUGAGGCGCGAAAGCGUGGGGAGCAAACGGG